UACGUAGGGACCAAGCGUUGUCCGGAAUCAUUGGGCGUAAAGCGGGUGUAGGCGGCUCUAUAAGUCAGGAGUGAAAGCCCCAAGCUUAACUUGGGAAGUGCUUUUGAUACUGCAGAGCUUGAAUGUGGGAGAGGGUAGUGGAAUUCCAGGUGUAGUGGUGAAAUACGUAGAUAUCUGGAGGAACACCGGUGGCGAAGGCGGCUACCUGGCCCAACAUUGACGCUGAGACCCGAAAGCAUGGGGAUCAAACAGG
rnacentral:rRNA from 1 species